rnacentral:rRNA from 1 species
CCUACGGGUGGCAGCAGUGGGGAAUAUUGGACAAUGGGCGAAAGCCUGAUCCAGCCAUGCCGCGUGUGUGAAGAAGGCCUUCGGGUUGUAAAGCACUUUCAGUGGGGAAGAAAGCCUUGGGGCUAAUACCCUCGAGGAAGGACAUCACCCACAGAAGAAGCACCGGCUAACUCCGUGCCAGCAGCCGCGGUAAUACGGAGGGUGCGAGCGUUAAUCGGAAUUACUGGGCGUAAAGCGCGCGUAGGCGGUCUGAUAAGCCGGUUGUGAAAGCCCCGGGCUCAACCUGGGAACGGCAUCCGGAACCGUCAGGCUAGAGUGCAGGAGAGGAAGGUAGAAUUCCCGGUGUAGCGGUGAAAUGCGUAGAGAUCGGGAGGAAUACCAGUGGCGAAGGCGGCCUUCUGGACUGACACUGACGCUGAGGUGCGAAAGCGUGGGUAGCAAACAGGAUUAGAUACCCUAGUAGUC